rnacentral:rRNA from 1 species
AAUGAACGCUGGCGGCAUGCCUUACACAUGCAAGUCGAACGGCAGCAUGACCUAGCUUGCUAGGUUGAUGGCGAGUGGCGAACGGGUGAGUAAUGCAUCGGAACGUGCCUUUUAGGGGGGGAUAACGUAGAGCAAGUUACGCUACUACAGCAUAUUCUCUGAGGAGGAGAGCAGGGGAGCUACGGGCCUUGCGCUAGAAGAGCGGCGGAUGUCGGAUUAGCUAGUUGGUGAGGUAAAGGCUCACCAAGGCAACGAUCCGUCGCGGGUCUGAGGGGAUGAUCCGCCACACUGGGACUUAGACACGGCCCAUACUCCUACGGGAGGCAGCAGUGGGGAAUGUUGGACAAUGGGCGCAAGCCUGAUCCAGCCAGGCCGCGUGAGUGAAGAAGGCCUUCGGGUUGUAAAGCUCUUUCUGCUGGGAAGAAAUCGCACCCUCUAAUACAGGGUGUGGAUGACGGUACCAGCAUAAGAAGCACCGGCUAACUACGUG